rnacentral:rRNA from 1 species
AUUGAAAGCUGGCGGCAGGCCUAACACAUGCAAGUCGAGCGGAGCGGCGGACGGAUGAGUAAUGCCUAGGAAUCUGCCUGGUAGUGGGGGAUAACGUCCGGAAACGGGCGCUAAUACAGCAUACUAUCAGAUACGACUAGGUCGGAGUAGCUAGUUGGGGGGGUAAAGGCCUACCAAGGCGACGAUCCGUCACUGGUCUGAGAGGAUGAUCAGUCACACUGGAACGGAGACACGGUCCAGACUCCUACGGUAGGCAGCAGUGGGGAAUAUUGGACAAUGGGCGAAAGCUUGAUCCAGCCAUCCCGCGUGUGUGAAGAAGGUCUUCGGAUUGUAAAGCACUUUAAGUUGGGAGGCGUUACCAACAGAAUAAGCACCGGCUAACUUCGUGCCAGCAGCCGCGGUAAUAC